UAGGGAAUCUUCCGCAAUGGGCGAAAGCCUGACGGAGCAACGCCGCGUGAGUGAUGAAGGUCUUCGGAUCGUAAAACUCUGUUAUUAGGGAAGAACAAAUGUGUAAGUAACUAUGCACGUCUUGACGGUACCUAAUCAGAAAGCCACGGCUAACUACGUGCCAGCAGCCGCGGUAAUACGUAGGUGGCAAGCGAUAUCCGGAAUUAUUGGGCGUAAAGCGCGCGUAGGCGGUUUUUUAAGUCUGAUGUGAAAGCCCACGGCUCAACCGUGGAGGGUCAGUGGAAACUGGAAAACUUGAGUGCAGAAGAGGAAAGUGGAAUUCCAUGUGUAGCGGUGAAAUGCGCAGAGAUAUGGAGGAACACCAGUGGCGAAGGCGACUUUCUGGUCUGUAACUGACGCUGAUGUGCGAAAGCGUGGGGAUCAAACAGG
rnacentral:rRNA from 1 species